rnacentral:rRNA from 1 species
GACGAACGCUGGCGGCGUGCCUAAUACAUGCAAGUCGAACGCAGUGGGGACGGGUGAGUAACACGUGGGUAACCUCCCAUCAGAGGGGAUAACACUUGGAAACAGGUGCUAAACCGAUAAUGUUGGCUGAACCCGCGGUGCAUUAGUUAGUUGGUGAGGUAACGGCUCACCAAGGCCACGAUGCAUAGCCGACCUGAAAGGGUGGUGGGCCACACUGGAACUGAGACACGACCCAGACUCCUGAGGGAGGAAGCAGUAGGGAAUCUUCGGCAAUGGAGGAAAGUCUGACCGAGCAACGCCGGGUAAGUGAAGAAGGUUUGCGGAUCGUAAAACUCUGUUGUUAGAGAAGCGGUAUCUAACCAGAAAGCCACGGCUAACUACGUGCCAGCAGCCGCGGUAAUAC